GACGAACCGUGCGAACGUUAUUCGGAAUCACUGGGCUUAAAGCGCGUGUAGGCGGCCCGGCACGUCUUUCGCUGAAAUCCCCCGGCUCAACCGGGGAAGGGGCGAGGAUACGACCGGGCUGGAGGGGGGUAGGGGAAUCGGGAACUUCCGGUGGAGCGGUGAAAUGCGUUGAGAUCGGAAGGAACGCCCGUGGCGAAAGCGCGGUUCUGGACCCCACCUGACGCUGAGACGCGAAAGCCAGGGGAGCGAACGGG
rnacentral:rRNA from 1 species